AAGACUAUACUUUCAGGGAUCAUUUCUAUAGUUUGUUACUAGAGAAGUUUCUCUGAUCGUGUAGAGCACCGAAAGCCACGAGGAGGAGGUGUAGCAUUCUCUCCUGAGCGUGAAGCCGACAUUUGAUGUUGCGUUUUUGCAGCUGUCACUUGUCAUUGAUGAUCGCUCUUGCUUUCUUCCCAGAAAGCAAGAGGGAGAGUAUGCAGUCUGAGUGGUU
ensembl:snoRNA